rnacentral:rRNA from 1 species
AUUGAACGCUGGCGGCAUGCCUUACACAUGCAAGUCGAACGGCAGCACGGGGCAACCUGGUGGCGUGUGGCGAACGGGUGAGUAAUGCAUCGGAACGUACCUUUCAGUGGGGGAUAACGUAGCGAAAGUUACGCUAAUACCGCAUAUUCUGUGAGCAGGAAAGCAGGGGAUCGCAAGACCUUGCGCUGAUUGAGCGGCCGAUGUCAGAUUAGCUAGUUGGUGAGGUAAAGGCUCACCAAGGCGACGAUCUGUAGCGGGUCUGAGAGGAUGAUCACCCACACUGGAACUGAGACACGGUCCAGACUCCUACGGGAGGCAGCAGUGGGGAAUUUUGGACAAUGGGGGCAACCCUGAUCCAGCCAUGCCGCGUGAGUGAAGAAGGCCUUCGGGUUGUAAAGCUCUUUCGGCCGGGAAGAAAUCGCACGGGCUAAUACCCUGUGUGGAUGACGGUACCGGAAUAAGAAGCACCGGUUAACUACGUGCCAGCAGCCGCGGUAACAC